GGCAGUGUAGCAUAGUGGUAAGGUGCAGGGCUUGUGACCAAAAGGUUGCCGGUUCGAGUCCCUGCUGGGG
rnacentral:tRNA from 1 species